AUGAGGAUUUUGUUGUUUUUCUCUCUGAUUUGGUCAUCUGUUUCUUUCCGCAUUGCUUUUUCCUUUCUGAAGAAAGGCCAGACUAUUUCCAAUUUAAGCCAGCACCUCAAGGCUUUUUGUAAUCUUGUAGCUGCUCUCCUUCCUCUUCUUUCUUCCUUCCCCAGAGCGCAUUACAGAAGGAUUGCAGCUAUUUCUUAAUUUUAAACAGUUGCUUUCGGGGGCGAAAAAAAAAUCAAUAAAUUUUAAAAAAUCAGCACCUCUCUGUCGCUUUUUAUCGUUUUAAUUUGUCAUUUGACUUGCCUGUGGUUUCAUCUCUUUCAGGAGACAACAGAUCUUUAUCAGAAGAGUUAACUUACGGCAUUUUUUAACACAAACUGGGAUUUUGAUGUAUUAGGGACUUCCUGUUAUUGCCUUUCCCCAGAUCUUUUUUUUAUCCCCCCAAAUAUCUCACCUCCUUUUCUCCCUGUUUCUUCCCCUCUCUUUCUUUCUCUCCAAGGGGUAAAGGAGUUGAUCGUGCUAUUUCUGUUUUGGGCACUCACUGACAGUCCUGUCCCUAGAGGUUACCCCAUUGCUCAGUAAUUACCCAAUUUCUAUAUAAGCACAGGUGCCUUGGGUUCAGAGGCCUUUUCCUUCUGUCUUUGUUGGGGGAAAUGGAGACAGCUGAGGGUGUUUCAUUUGGGGAGAUUUGCUAAUGUAUAUUUUACCACUCCCCUACUAGUGGAGGUGGAGACAGGAGUUCAACUGAGUAACAACUAAAAAUUUUAAAAAUUGCUGGCUGUGAACUGGAGCUUGUUUGACCCGGGCUCAUUUGACUCCCUGACAUCACAUCAGUCAAUUGAACCCCUCAGACUCCAAGUUCAUGUCCCUGGAUUGCAAAACCUUCAGUUCUUAAAGGUUGUCAUUUUCAAAACAAAACUAAGCUAUAAUUACCAGUUUAAUCACUUAUCUUCUGACAUUAGCCCAAUAUUUUAACCAUCAAUAAACCAAAGUCCCUCAAGAAGUUUGUACCACACUAAGACAGAAUUUUCUUCCAAAGUCUGAAAGCGUGGGCUGUUGUUUUCUGGACAGUGAAGCAAAUAUCAGUGUUGAGACCUGGGUCCUCAGGAGGCUAACUCUGAGCUGGAGAUGAGCAGGCAGGAUGUUUGUGAAAGGGAGGCCCCGGCACCAGAGGAAGGAAGAGCAAGGAAAGAAAUAGGACUGGGCAACGGGUGACAGUGGGCUCUAGGCCAUGUUUGACGUCCCCAAGGUGUCUCAUUGAGAGAGGCUUGGUCAGCUGGUCGCUGGACGUGGGCCAUGUCUCCAAAGUUCUAAC
rnacentral:lncRNA from 1 species